AGCGAACGCUGGCGGCAGGCCUAACACAUGCAAGUCGAACGAAGUCUUCGGACUUAGUGGCGGACGGGUGAGUAACACGUGGGAACGUGCCUUUAGGUUCGGAAUAACUCAGGGAAACUUGUGCUAAUACCGAAUGUGCCCUUCGGGGGAAAGAUUUAUCGCCUUUAGAGCGGCCCGCGUCUGAUUAGCUAGUUGGUGAGGUAAUGGCUCACCAAGGCGACGAUCAGUAGCUGGUCUGAGAGGAUGACCAGCCACACUGGGACUGAGACACGGCCCAGACUCCUACGGGAGGCAGCAGUGGGGAAUCUUGCGCAAUGGGCGAAAGCCUGACGCAGCCAUGCCGCGUGAAUGAUGAAGGUCUUAGGAUUGUAAAAUUCUUUCACCGGGGACGAUAAUGACGGUACCCGGAGAAGAAGCCCCGGCUAACUUCGUGCCAGCCGCCGCCGUAAUAC
rnacentral:rRNA from 1 species